ensembl:rRNA 5S_rRNA 5S ribosomal RNA
GUCUACGGCCAUACCACUCUGAACACAGCCGAUCUUGUCUGAUCUCGUAAGCUAAGCAGGGUUAGGCCUGGUUAGUACUUGGAUGGGAGAAAUCCUUUAAGAUAAAGAAAAUAUGUUCCAUUUCCC